rnacentral:pre_miRNA from 1 species
AGUGCGGACGCGAGUGCGACGCGUCUGUUGUCGCAGCCGUGCAGUCUCGGACUAGUGCGUGUUUGUUUGAACGUCUGCGAUGAUACAGUUUCGGGCACUCGCAGGACCCGUC